GAUGAACGCUGGCGGCGUGCCUAAUACAUGCAAGUCGAGCGAACAGACGAGGAGCUUGCUCCUCUGACGUUAGCGGCGGACGGGUGAGUAACACGUGGAUAACCUACCUAUAAGACUGGGAUAACUUCGGGAAACCGGAGCUAAUACCGGAUAAUAUAUUGAACCGCAUGGUUCAAUAGUGAAAGACGGUUUUGCUGUCACUUAUAGAUGGAUCCGCGCCGCAUUAGCUAGUUGGUAAGGUAACGGCUUACCAAGGCAACGAUGCGUAGCCGACCUGAGAGGGUGAUCGGCCACACUGGAACUGAGACACGGUCCAGACUCCUACGGGAGGCAGCAGUAGGGAAUCUUCCGCAAUGGGCGAAAGCAUGACGGAGCAACGCCGCGUGAGUGAUGAAGGUCUUCGGAUCGUAAAACUCUGUUAUGAGGGAAGAACAAAUGUGUAAGUAACUAUGCACGUCUUGACGGUACCUAAUCAGAAAGCCACGGCUAACUACGUG
rnacentral:rRNA from 1 species